UGGGGGGCGGAGCCAAGCUGCAGAACAGAGAAGUCGCAUAGCAUUGUAGCUCCUGCAAUUUUAUGCCAAAACACCCUAACCAAACGACCAAAAUCGUCCAAAACAGCCUCAAAUCCCAGGCAAUAACAGGGGAAACGACAUGGGACGGAAAAGCAAAAAACAAAAGCCCGAUCAGCCCAGACUUGGCCUCGAUAUCGGAGCCAUGUGGCGACAGGCCCACGGAGCGGUUGGGCCCAAGAUGGCCGAAUACCCAGAGACAUACUCCGACCUGUCUGAUGACUUCUCCCAAGGUGAGGACACACUUCACUCUCCCAGUCCACCAGCAGCAAAAGCCACACCACCAGACCCAGAUAACGCACCAGUCACCACAGCGGUGCUCAAGGCAUUACUGGCAGGCCUACAGACCACGAUCCAGGCAGAAUUGGCGGGCCUCCGCACAGACCUCCAGGGAAUAACCGGGAGACUAGGCACCCUGGAGGAUUCCUCCGCCACCACAGCUACCCAUAUCGCCACCAUGCAAUCGGAGAUAAGGGGUCUGCAGAGUAAAGCAGAGGUCUAUGAACGGCAGUUCGCAGCACUGGAAGACACACGCAGAGCAACCAACAUAAAGGUACGGGGAGUACCAGACGACAUGCCGGCGGAGGAACUGCCGCACUUCGCGAGGAGGCUCUUGGCAGCGCUGCUACCAGCACGGAAAGCCAAAACAAUAAGCCCGGACGGAGUUCACAGAGUUCCCAAACCGACCAAAGCCCCACCAGCGGCCUCCAGGGACAUUAUACUCCGCUUCCAGCACAAGGAAGACAGAGCCGCAACCAUGGCAGCGGUCAAAAACCUUCCCCAGUACCCCUUCGAAACCAUGUCCCUCUCCUUUUUCACGGACUUGUCCGGCAGUACCUUGGCUUGGAGACGGUCGCUUAAGCCACUUACAACGCUACUUCAGCAACGAAACAUAACAUACCGAUGGCGCCUCAACCGUUCCCUGCUGGUGACACAUAACGGGAACACCCAUGAGAUUCACAACCUCCAGGGAGCGGAGGACUUGCUACCCAUACUAGGACUACCUUUAGAUGCCAUAUGUCCCACGACAACCUCCAAACCACAGCACAGGUGGAACCCGGAAAGGGUGAAAACUUUCGUUCCGCGAAGGUCCGGACUCGGCUCCCCGGCUGACAAGCCGCAACAAACUAUUGGCCGGGACUGUUUGAACUAACUCCUUGUGACUCUUUACACUACUUAGCAAUUUUGCCUAACCUGUUAAUUUAUACUUCUUUUUACCUACCGUUAUGAAUCUAAUAGUUCAUGUACCUUAAAUGUUACUAGCUCCUUACCGGGAAGACUCACAUAAGAAUGCUCCCAGUCAGGCUACUUACCCCACUCCCCCCCACCCCCAUCUGCCCUAAGCGGAAACAAGAUGGUACAUCACCCUAAACGGCAGACAGAUGGGGUUACGGCACACCCAGCACCUAGAUACCUCCCAAGCUAUAGCAAUACCUCACAAACACAGAGGGAAGAGAACACCGUAGAGCGAUACACUGCACCACUGAGCUCAACACCUCUAGGAACAGCUGAUUGAAACAUAGGCGGAUUUACCCCAUAGCACACAUCCUAACGGAGCAGACAACUCCAACUAGCUAGACACACGCCAGGUAUCAUAAGACCUCUCCAUAGCUAUUAUCAGGAGCGUAUUUUUAGUACAUAUUGGCCACUCAACGGCUAUUAGUAUUACCCAGCUACAACAUGUGUACUCAUUGCGUGUAGUUAACUUAGCGAUUGUUAGCAUGUUAUACUCUAUAAAUAUUAAAUGUGCAACUCCUCAGAUAUGCCACUGAAAGUUUUGAUAUUGCUCACAGUAGCUGUUGUGGCACUGCAAGCAUGUAUGUAUCCAAAUGCACAAGAAAAAUAAAGAAUUAAAAAAAAAAAA